rnacentral:tRNA from 1 species
GUGAAAAUAGCUUAGGGGCAGAGCACCGGCUUGUGGGGCCAGGAGACAAGGGUUCAACCCCCUUUUUUCACC